rnacentral:tRNA from 1 species
GCCCGGAUCAGGCAUGACUCCUCUCUCAAUAACCGCUCUCCUAAAGCGGGUGUCGCAGGUUCGAAUCCUGCCGGGGGCA